UACGUAGGUGACAAGCGUUGUCCGGAUUUACUGGGCGUAAAGAGCGCGCAGGCGGUCGUUCAAGUCGAGUGUGAAAGCCCCCGGCUCAACUGGGGAGGGUCACUCGAUACUGAUCGACUCGAAGGCAGGAGAGGGAAGUGGAAUUCCCGGUGUAGUGGUGAAAUGCGUAGAUAUCGGGAGGAACACCAGUGGCGAAGGCGGCGAUCUGGCCCAACAUUGACACUGAGACCCGAAAGCGCGGGGAUCAAACAGG
rnacentral:rRNA from 1 species